GUUUGAUUGCAUCCUUGCUGAGCUGUAUCUGAUCCACAUUAUUUUUCCAGGUCCCUAUAAAAUGGCCAAAAAGUCGUGAUGUAGUAUGGAAAGCAAACAUUCCACACACUCACCUUGCAAAAGAGAAGUCAGACUAGAACUGGAUGGUUGAAGCUGGUUAAAAAAUCAAGUUUCCAGGUGGUGGGACCCAUUUUCACCAUGGAGCUGACAAAUACAUAUCAAAUAUUGCAAAUAUGCUAAAUUUCAAAGAUAACAAUAUAAACAAUGAGGGGAUGCUUCGUACAGUCCUUGAUGUUGGUUGUGGAGUUGUUAGUUUCGGAGGAUACCUUAUUUCUUCUAAUGUGAUAGCAAUGUCUUUGGCACCAAACGACGUGCAUCAGAAUCAGAUUCAGUUUGCACUCGAAAGAGGAAUCCCUGCAUAUCUUGGUGUUUUGGGAACAAAAAGGCUUCCAUACCCGAGUAGAUCAUUUGAACUAGCCCAUUGUUCACGUUGUAGGAUCGACUGGCUUCAAAGAGAUGGGAUUCUUCUGCUCGAACUAGACAGAUGGAGUUUGGGAGCCUGUUAAAUGAUUUUGUAAAGUGUUUGCAAAUAUGUGCAAAACAUAAUAACAUGUGUAGGUUUUGUGAAUGAUUUUGUUGUGGUGCUUGUUGAUGGUUUAUGUGAUGUGGAUCUAUCAUUGUGCAAUACUAAUUAAAUUUGUA